rnacentral:rRNA from 1 species
UACGUAGGUGGCGAGCGUUGUCCGGAUUUACUGGGCGUAAAGAGCGCGCAGGCGGCUGGUCAAGUCCGAUGUGAAAGCUCCCGGCUUAACUGGGAAAUUGCAUCGGAAACUGAUCGGCUGGAAGGUGGGAGAGGGUAGCGGAAUUCCCGGUGUAGUGGUGAAAUGCGUAGAUAUCGGAAGGAACGCCGGUGGCGAAAGCGAUCGACUGGACCUCUUCUGACGCUGAGGCGCGAAAGCCAGGGGAGCAAACGGG